CGUAGCAACGCCGGGCAUACCCUGCCCGGCGUCGGGGCGGAUGGCCCACCCGCCGUCCGCUCUCCUUCCCCCCCGCACAGACUCUGCUACGGCGGCGCCCC
rnacentral:sRNA from 1 species